rnacentral:rRNA from 1 species
UACGUAGGGGGCAAGCGUUAUCCGGAUUUACUGGGUGUAAAGGGAGCGUAGACGGCUGCGCAAGUCAGAAGUGAAAGCCCGGGGCUCAACCGCGGGACUGCUUUUGAAACUGUGUAGCUAGAGUGCAGGAGAGGUAAGUGGAAUUCCUAGUGUAGCGGUGAAAUGCGUAGAUAUUAGGAGGAGCACCGGUGGCGAAGGCGGCUUACUGGACUGUAACUGACGUUGAGGCUCGAAAGCGUGGGGAGCAAACAGG